rnacentral:rRNA from 1 species
GUACGCGGUAGAGGAGCUUUCUGUAUGGGUUGAAGUCGUACCGUAAGGAGCGGUGGACUGUACAGAAGUGAGAAUGCUGGCAUAAGUAGCGAGAAAUAAGUGAGAAUCUUAUUGGCCGAAAACCUAAGGUUUCCUGAGGAAGGUUCGUCCGCUCAGGGUUAGUCGGGACCUAAGCCGAGGCCGAAAGGCGUAGGUGAUGGACAAUCGGUUGAUAUUCCGAUACCACCUAUUUACGUUUGAGAAAUGGGGUGACGCAGUAGGAUAAGAUGUGCGCACUAUUGGAUGUGCGUCUAAGCACUUAGGCAUGCUUGAUAGGCAAAUCCGUCGAGCUAAGCUGAGGUGUGAUGGGGAGCCAUUUAUGGCGAAGUAUCUGAUUCCACACUGCCAAGAAAAGCCUCUAUCGAGUGAAUAGGUGCCCGUACCGCAAACCGACACAGGUAGGUGAGGAGAGAAUCCUAAGGCCAUCGGAAGAAUUGCUGUUAAGGAACUCGGCAAAUUGACCCCGUAACUUCGGGAGAAGGGGUGCCUACGAAAGUAGGCCGCAGAGAAUAGGCCCAAGCAACUGUUUAGCAAAAACACAGGUCUCUGCUAAAGCGAAAGCUGAUGUAUAGGGGCUGACGCCUGCCCGGUGCUGGAAGGUUAAGGGGAACACUUAGCGUAAGCGAAGGUGUGAACUUAAGCCCCAGUAAACGGCGGCCGUAACUAUAACGGUCCUAAGGUAGCGAAAUUCCUUGUCGGGUAAGUUCCGACCCGCACGAAUGGCGUAAUGAUUUGGGCACUGUCUCAACAGCAAAUCCGGCGAAAUUGUAGUGCAAGUGAAGAUGCUUGCUACCCGCGAUUGGACGGAAAGACCCCGUAGAGCUUUACUGUAGCUUAGCAUUGAAUCUCGGUAUUGUCUGUACAGGAUAGGUGGGAGACUUGGAAGCUUGGGCGUCAGCCUGAGUGGAGUCAUCCUUGGGAUACCACCCUGACAGUACUGGGGUUCUAACCGGCGGCCAUGAAUCUGGUCACGGGACAUUGUUAGGUGGGCAGUUUGACUGGGGCGGUCGCCUCCUAAAAAGUAACGGAGGCGCCCAAAAGUUCCCUCAGCGCGGUCGGAAAUCGCGCGAAGAGUGCAAAGGCAGAAGGGAGCUUGACUGCGACACAUACAGGUGGAGCAGGGACGAAAGUCGGGCUUAGUGAUCCGGUGGUACCUCGUGGGAGGGCCAUCGCUCAACGGAUAAAAGCUACCUCGGGGAUAACAGGCUGAUCUCCCCCAAGAGUCCACAUCGACGGGGAGGUUUGGCACCUCGAUGUCGGCUCGUCGCAUCCUGGGGCUGAAGUAGGUCCCAAGGGUUGGGCUGUUCGCCCAUUAAAGCGGCACGCGAGCUGGGUUCAGAACGUCGUGAGACAGUUCGGUCCCUAUCCGUCGCGGGCGUAGGAAAUUUGAGAGGAGCUGUCCUUAGUACGAGAGGACCGGGAUGGACCAACCUCUGGUGCACCAGUUGUCACGCCAGUGGCACAGCUGGGUAGCUAUGUUGGGACUGGAUAAACGCUGAAAGCAUCUAAGCGUGAAGCCAACCUCAAGAUGAGAUUUCCCAUAGCGUAAGCUAGU